GUGAGGAAUAUUGGACAAUGGGCGCAAGCCUGAUCCAGCCAUGCCGCGUGCAGGAAGACGCAUCUAUGGUGUGUAAACUGCUUUUGUACGGGAAGAAACACUCCCUCGUGAGGGAGCUUGACGGUACCGUAAGAAUAAGGAUCGGCUAACUCCGUGCCAGCAGCCGCGGUAAUACGGAGGAUCCAAUCGUUAUCCGGAAUCAUUGGGUUUAAAGGGUCCGUAGGCGGUUUAAUAAGUCAGUGGUGAAAGCCCAUCGCUCAACGAUGGAACGGCCAUUGAUACUGUUAGACUUGAAUUACAAGGAAGUAACUAGAAUAUGUAGUGUAGCGGUGAAAUGCUUAGAUAUUACAUGGAAUACCAAUUGCGAAGGCAGGUUACUACUUGUGGAUUGACGCUGAUGGACGAAAGCGUGGGGAGCGAACAGGAUUAGAAACCCGGGUAGUCC
rnacentral:rRNA from 1 species